CGACGAACGAACGAAGAAAGCUCGAGACUCCAAUCCCAGGAAGGCGACGGCAGCGGCGGCAAAGAUGAAGCCUCCAGCGCAGCAAUUACAGAAUAUCUGCUCUGUUUAAGAACUUGGAAAAUGAAGACAUGAGUGAAACAGUCCCACCCCUUAAAGAACUCUGAAGUUAUUGAGAAAGACAGAGGGGCAGUAAACAACUCUCCUACAAGAGAAGAGCUGCCUUUCAAGGCAUUGCUUAAACAUAACUGAAGAAAUGAUGAACAAUACUAGAAUAGCUUUUGUGGUGGAGGUAGCAUUUGAGCUAAGCUUUGAAAAUGAAGAUUUCCACAAGCAAAGAAGCACAUAAAUCACUAAUAACUACUCUGAAAAGACCUCUUCCUCCUUGCUUCUAAGCUGAGUUUCUUGCCUGAAUAUGCUUUCUUAGUUAAAGGUAUCUUUCUCUCCCUGCUCACCAGGGGAGACAUCAAAGGUAGGUAGUUUGAAGAUAUUAUAUAUUCCUCCUUCCAUUUCUUAUAUUAUGACCUUAUCAAACUACAGUGCUCCAUAUAUUCUAUUUGUUUUCCAUUUUAUUGUUGUUUUGUGGUCUGUUGGUUUCUGGCAAAAAAAAUUAAAAGAUAAGUUUUAAUAUACUUAUCUCUGAGAAGU